rnacentral:lncRNA from 1 species
GCAAGAUGAAAACACAUAUACUCACUGUUCAUUUCACAACAGGUGGAAAAUGCACAGAUUAGCUACAAGAUUAAAACCACCUACAUCCCCUUUGUGCUACUGAACACAUCAGAGUAUGGACAGGAGAUCUGCACCGUCAACAUCUAUAUGUAUUCCAAGAUUUUUCACUCAAUCAUCAUAAUAAUGAAUAAAACAUCAGCGGGGACGUGACACCACUAAUGUCAUGAGGCAGCAUCUCAGCCUGAUGAAUGCACAGCGUUCCAUCUGUGCUUUCAACAACUCUGCAUUUAACAGUAAAUCCUUUACACAUUAAUCCCUUAGCCACCAAGUGAAAACAUGACCAUGAUUUCUAUGCAGAAUGUAGCCCUUAUUCUAGAAUGACUUAAAACGCAGUCAUGAUAGCCUUGUUAAAGCGGUAAAGAAGUGCUAAUGUAUUUAAUUUUACUCAAAAACAGAGGCAUAAAUGCAUAGAUCAUAACAUGGAAUAUCUACACUAGUUUGAGUUGUUGUUUAUUUGUUUUUAUUUUUUGAACCUGGUAGAUUUUAUUCAUUGUUUUCUUUAAAAUAACCAAAAUUGCAUAAUUUAAUUUCACUGCCUUCAUGUUAUUUUUUACUCUAUCAUUAGAGUGCUGUAAAAAAAAGUGCCCUCUUCCUGGUUUCUUAUUUUCUGCAUAUUUGUCACACUUGACCUAAACAGUACACUGUGAACCCAAAUACUCAAAGUAAUUAAGUAAACUAAGUAAUGUAAACUUUUUUUUAAACAGGCCUACUAACUCAAAUAGCUUAUACUCAUCUAACAUUUUCAUCCAUUUGAAAUAGUUCAACUUAUUAUUUUUAAACCACUCUGAUCAACAGUUAUUUUUGCAUAAUUUCAUUUUACUUAUUUAAAGUGUUGGGACUAACGCGUUAUUAAGUAACGCGUUACAGUAACUACGUUAUUAUUGUGGUAACGAGCACGGUAACUAGUUAUUAUGCCAAAACCAGGAACGCGUUACUCGUUACUGGGAUUUAGAUAGGCUCGUUACUCGUUACUUCGUGUGGUGGCAUCGCGGAGCUUCCACAGAUUCAAUAACAUUAGCAAGUGGUGGAAGCCAGCAGGUGGAUGAAGGAAAAGGGAGGCAAAAGGAGAGCGGCCGCCGUGUCAGGUGAACUGAACUUCAGGUAAGAAGUUAUGACCUGCAGUCUAUCUGGGUCAGAUAUAAACCAAGUUUAGGUGGAGUUUAUUUUCGUUAUGCUGACUUUUUCGUAC